rnacentral:rRNA from 1 species
UACGUAGGGUGCGAGCGUUGUCCGGAAUUAUUGGGCGUAAAGGGCUCGUAGGCGGUUUGUCGCGUCGGGGAGUGAAAACUCAGGGCUUAACCCUGAGCCUGCUUCCGAUACGGGCAGACUAGAGGUAUGCAGGGGAGAAUGGAAUUCCUGGUGUAGCGGUGAAAUGCGCAGAUAUCAGGAGGAACACCGGUGGCGAAGGCGGUUCUCUGGGCAUUACCUGACGCUGAGGAGCGAAAGUGUGGGGAGCGAACAGG